AAUAGUGAAAAUAAUAGCAAGUGACACAAGUGAGGAGCUCCCUUAGAUGUUUUAGAGAAGAAAAAUACCUGAAUAAUUUUCUUAAAGAGUUUUUGAAAAGACAAGUAAUAUAAGCAGAAUAUCCACUUUUCAAGUUUAAAGCUAGACUAUUAGAUCUAUUUGCAGGUCUGGGUCUGCCACAGCUUCAAGAUUAGCUGCACAGUCCUUCACCCCCACUUCAUCUCUUCAAGCACAACUUCUUAAUGUUUAAGUUCCCAUUCAUCUUUGGAGUACUGCACAGACACAACAUUUGUAUCUGCAUCCACAUCUGUAUCUGCAAAAACGAGCUAUGGAUAUCCUCAUCCACAUCCAUAGGUGUGAAUCCCUGUAGAUUUAAAGCAGAUAUUUGCAGGGCUCUACUGACCUGUACCUUUCUUUCUCUUUGCUGCUGACUUGAAGAAAAAAAAAAGGCGGUGGGGUGUAUGUGUUUGAGGGUGAGGGGGUUAAAACCAUAUGUACAGAUGUUAUUAGAGUAAAAAGUGGUUGUAGAUCUCCCAUAAACAAAUUUUUAAAUGACAUUUGAUAUGAAGAGAGUAAGACCAAUUAUGAUAUAUUGUAAAAUAAUCUUAAAUUAUUUCAGCAGAAAUUUCAUAUAUAAAACCAAACACUACACAAAAAAAUUUUUUUUGAUUAAAAUCUUUACAGGUUCUUCUUAUAGAUGACAACAGUCUAAAAAGUCUAACAGCUGUAUUUUGAGGGGGGAAUAAUGAAAAUAACUGAUUUAGCAAAGCAAAUCUUGUUGAAGUUGCUUAUUAUAGAGCUUGUAUUUUAACACGAGCCAUCCCUUUCUGGUAGAAUUCCCAGUCUUCUUGCAAUUUCCUAUUGUGGAAUUAAAUUCGAUCUUUCACAACAAA